rnacentral:tRNA from 1 species
GGCCGGGAUGCUCAAAUUGGUUUGAGCGCAGAACUGAUGACUCUGUGGGCUUGAUCAGCCUCUGCGGGUUCGAUUCCCGCCCCGACCG